rnacentral:rRNA from 1 species
UACGGGGGGAGCAAGCGUUGUUCGGAUUUACUGGGCGUAAAGGGCGCGUAGGCGGUCAGCACAAGUCAGUUGUGAAAUCUCCGGGCUUAACUCGGAAAGGUCAACUGAUACUGUGCGACUAGAGUGCGGAAGGGGCAACUGGAAUUCUCGGUGUAGCGGUGAAAUGCGUAGAUAUCGAGAGGAACACCGAUGGCGAAGGCAGCUCGCUGGGACGUGACUGACGCUGAGACGCGAAAGCGUGGGGAGCAAACAGG